rnacentral:rRNA from 1 species
AUUGAACGCUGGCGGCAUGCCUUACACAUGCAAGUCGAACGGUAACGGGCCUUCGGGUGCCGACGAGUGGCGAACGGGUGAGUAAUACAUCGGAACGUGCCCGAUCGUGGGGGAUAACGAGGCGAAAGCUUUGCUAAUACCGCAUACGAUCUACGGAUGAAAGCAGGGGACCGCAAGGCCUUGCGCGGACGGAGCGGCCGAUGGCAGAUUAGGUAGUUGGUGGGAUAAAAGCUUACCAAGCCGACGAUCUGUAGCUGGUCUGAGAGGAUGAUCAGCCACACUGGGACUGAGACACGGCCCAGACUCCUACGGGAGGCAGCAGUGGGGAAUUUUGGACAAUGGGCGCAAGCCUGAUCCAGCCAUGCCGCGUGCAGGAUGAAGGCCUUCGGGUUGUAAACUGCUUUUGUACGGAAAGAAAAGCCUUCUUUUAAUACAGGAGGGUCAUGACGGUACCGUAAGAAUAAGCACCGGCUAACUACGUG